CAGAAGUAUGCAGAGGCCAAAUUGAGCUCCAACUGCAUCGCGGUCCGACUCCCAAAUGUUGUAACAAUGCGGAGGGUUCCGUAUAGCUCCGUAAUGACAUGAUUGGUUGAUCGUAGGUGGGGCAGGAGAUCCUGUAUAAACACAAACUCACUUCCUUGACAACAGCUCUGCGCAGCACCGCGAAGCGCAAGAAGUAUGAAUGCAUUGAUUUCUGCAGAGGCCGCAUCACUGCACGGCAACAGAUUGACCAUUGGCCAGGAGAAUUCAGUCAGCAGCAGCCUCAGCAGUGAGACCAAUGAAGGUGAACCAUCUCUCCACCAAGAAGACCUGGAGCUGUCCAAGGUAUGGAGGUUAAGCAGAGCUGACUGGUCAAUUCAUACCUUGUGCCCAUGUAGCAGUAUUGCUUCAGUCCCUCUCCUUUCCCCAUCCUGGGCUCGACCAGGGACCCUCUGCGCACAUCGACAACAGUCACCCACGAAGCAUCGGUACCUAUCGCUCAACAAAAAUCGCAGCCCUUGCAGAGCAAGGGAAACAAAUACUUCAAGGUUUCAGAGCGAGUGAAGUCACCGAUUCAAACGCUACUAGCGUGCAUCGCUAACUAGCUAGCCAUUUCACACCGGUUACACCCAUAACGGUGUACAAGUAAACAAGACUUGCACAGAGAGAACCUGUAACACUAACAGAGCUGCUGUCGAAUGCUGAGUAGAACAGUUGAAAACGUGGCAUAUGCUGAAAGUUGUAUGAGGAUGAUUGCAGGGAAACAAGAAGAAGCGGCCCAAGGGCUGUCUUGAAGCUCUUGCCCGCAGGCUGCUUGUGUGUGUGUGUGUGGUGCAUGCACACACGCAUUUGUUUAGUACAGUAGCGUUAAGGACAGUAAGGGAUCUAACCAUCAACCAGAGCGGUUUGGUUUUGCAGUCAGGGCUGUGGGCUUACAUUUUCCAUAGCCUACUCCUGGCAAACUAUAAUGCUGACCAUAGCAGUAUAUUAUUUGCACGUAAGCAGAAAUAGUUCUAGCAUAGCUUUUAAAGCCAGCUUAACAACAGGAUUUGCCCCUGACUCAAGUGGUCCCCUUUAUAGUAGGUCUGAAUUGAAUACCAUUUCUGUAGCCACCGUUCUCCAGACAUCCUCCAGCCUACAAAUACUUGCUUACAAGUUUCUUGGAAAAUAAAUACACAGUCUACUGGGCUCGUUAGGCCAUCAAUCAAAUGGAGAAUUAUGUCAGGCUAUACAGUAUGUGCUGCCCAGUUGAGAGAGGGAAGGAGCUCAUAUUUCUUCUGCUGAAUCUCUCUCCCUUGCUCUCUCUCUCUACUGUUAAUAGUAUUGACUUGGGUUGGUCUUGCUAAACAGACAUUUUGAGUGAAUUGGUGAGUUUAUCAUUACCUGAAAUAAGUGUCUUUGUGCAAGUGACUCCACCUGCCCUGACCUCAGCUUACAUCAACAAUGUCAUGUGACUAUGUUUGCACGUGCCUACAUGUGCCGAAGCUCUCUGUCGAUGUGCC
rnacentral:lncRNA from 1 species